rnacentral:rRNA from 1 species
CCCCUAGACGUUCUGGGCUGCACGCGCGCUACAAUAAUACGCACAGCGAGUAUCACCGAGCUCGAAAGGGCAAGGUAAACAAUAGAAAAGGUACUGUAAUGGUUAUAGAUCCUUGUAAUUAUUGAUCUUCAACGAGGAAUUCCUAGUAAGUAUGUGUCAUCAUCACGCACUGAUUACGUCCCUGCCCUUUGUACACACCGCCCGUCGCUCCUACCGAUUGGGUGAGCCGAUGAAACUCUCGGAUGUAGGCUAUUCAUAGCCCGCAGAAGAGAUUUGAAUCGUAGCGCUUAGAGGAAGGAGAANUCGUAGCA